rnacentral:rRNA from 1 species
AAAUUGAAGAGUUUGAUCAUGGCUCAGAUUGAACGCUGGCGGCAGGCCUAACACAUGCAAGUCGAACGGUAACAGGAAGCAGCUUGCUGCUUUGCUGACGAGUGGCGGACGGGUGAGUAAUGUCUGGGAAACUGCCUGAUGGAGGGGGAUAACUACUGGAAACGGUGGCUAAUACCGCAUAACGUCGCAAGACCAAAGAGGGGGACCUUCGGGCCUCUUGCCAUCAGAUGUGCCCAGAUGGGAUUAGCUUGUUGGUGAGGUAACGGCUCACCAAGGCGACGAUCCCUAGCUGGUCUGAGAGGAUGACCAGCCACACUGGAACUGAGACACGGUCCAGACUCCUACGGGAGGCAGCAGUGGGGAAUAUUGCACAAUGGGCGCAAGCCUGAUGCAGCCAUGCCGCGUGUAUGAAGAAGGCCUUCGGGUUGUAAAGUACUUUCAGCGGGGAGGAAGGUGUUGUGGUUAAUAACCGCAGCAAUUGACGUUACCCGCAGAAGAAGCACCGGCUAACUCCGUGCCAGCAGCCGCGGUAAUACGGAGGGUGCAAGCGUUAAUCGGAAUUACUGGGCGUAAAGCGCACGCAGGCGGUCUGUCAAGUCGGAUGUGAAAUCCCCGGGCUCAACCUGGGAACUGCAUUCGAAACUGGCAGGCUUGAGUCUUGUAGAGGGGGGUAGAAUUCCAGGUGUAGCGGUGAAAUGCGUAGAGAUCUGGAGGAAUACCGGUGGCGAAGGCGGCCCCCUGGACAAAGACUGACGCUCAGGUGCGAAAGCGUGGGGAGCAAACAGGAUUAGAUACCCUGGUAGUCCACGCCGUAAACGAUGUCUACUUGGAGGUUGUGCCCUUGAGGCGUGGCUUCCGGAGCUAACGCGUUAAGUAGACCGCCUGGGGAGUACGGCCGCAAGGUUAAAACUCAAAUGAAUUGACGGGGGCCCGCACAAGCGGUGGAGCAUGUGGUUUAAUUCGAUGCAACGCGAAGAACCUUACCUGGUCUUGACAUCCACAGAAGAAUCCAGAGAUGGAUUUGUGCCUUCGGGAACUGUGAGACAGGUGCUGCAUGGCUGUCGUCAGCUCGUGUUGUGAAAUGUUGGGUUAAGUCCCGCAACGAGCGCAACCCUUAUCCUUUGUUGCCAGCGGUUAGGCCGGGAACUCAAAGGAGACUGCCAGUGAUAAACUGGAGGAAGGUGGGGAUGACGUCAAGUCAUCAUGGCCCUUACGACCAGGGCUACACACGUGCUACAAUGGCGCAUACAAAGAGAAGCGACCUCGCGAGAGCAAGCGGACCUCAUAAAGUGCGUCGUAGUCCGGAUUGGAGUCUGCAACUCGACUCCAUGAAGUCGGAAUCGCUAGUAAUCGUGGAUCAGAAUGCCACGGUGAAUACGUUCCCGGGCCUUGUACACACCGCCCGUCACACCAUGGGAGUGGGUUGCAAAAGAAGUAGGUAGCUUAACCUUCGGGAGGGCGCUUACCACUUUGUGAUUCAUGACUGGGGUGAAGUCGUAACAAGGUAACCGUAGGGGAACCUGCGGUUGGAUCACCUCCUUACCUUAAAG